rnacentral:rRNA from 1 species
GACGAACGCUGGCGGCGUGCUUAACACAUGCAAGUCGAACGGAAAGGCCCUGCUUUUGUGGGGUGCUCGAGUGGCGAACGGGUGAGUAACACGUGAGUAACCUGCCCUUGACUUUGGGAUAACUUCAGGAAACUGGGGCUAAUACCGGAUAGGAGCUCCUGCUGCAUGGUGGGGGUUGGAAAGUUUCGGCGGUUGGGGAUGGACUCGCGGCUUAUCAGCUUGUUGGUGGGGUAGUGGCUUACCAAGGCUUUGACGGGUAGCCGGCCUGAGAGGGUGACCGGCCACAAUGGGACUGAGAUACGGCGCAGACUCCUACGGGAGGCAGCAGUGGGGAAUAUUGCACAAUGGGCGGAAGCCUGAUGCAGCAACGCCGCGUGCGGGAUGACGGCCUUCGGGUGGUAAACCGCUUUCGCCUGUGACGAAGCGUGAGUGACGGUAAUGGGUAAAGAAGCACCGGCUAACUACGUG